UUUAAAUCUUAAAAGCCUUUCUGGCUGAAGACCCUCCAGUCCUGUAACUAGAGGAUUCUGAGAGAUGCUUAGUUGAGAACAUGCCUUUGAUAUGCAGACUAACAAAUCCAGAGUCACACCUCCUCUAUUGGAUGCCUAUGCCUCAGAAUUACACCCAAGAGACAAUAUUCUGCUUUAAUCAUCCCCUGGCUAGGUUUCAGGUAACUAGACCACUUUUCUAGCUUGUAGCCCACAGAAAUUAUUCAAACUAGCUAAUCCUACAUGGUUAUUUUGCUCUAUAAAGGGCACAGCACCUGCCUCCCCUCUCUCUUGCUUCCUCUCCCAUCAUGUGAUCUCUUUGCAUGCUAGCUGUGCAUGCUAGACCUUGGCCUAAGUUCUUUCCUAGCUCCUGUCUUCUGCCACCUGACCAAAACCUGGCUCUUCCCAUGUGGCCCCAGUGUCAUGUGGCAACCCCUAAGACCUAUGAGUAUAAUAAACUUUGCUUUCUUAUGCCUCUCCCAUGUCUCCUUGGCCUCACCUGACUGACCAUCACAUAAAAGAACAGAACAAAUGCACACCCCCAGAUUAAUCACUGGCAAUAACAAAUGGAUUCAGCAAGGAUGAUUUAGACAAAUUCUGUUUCAACUCUGAGGCUUCAAACAUUAACACCUAAAUAAAACCAGGGUCUCCAUUGGCAGGGAUGAAAGAGGGCUUGAUUAAACAAUCAACACUGUCUAUCAGCACACAUUUCUAAAUGUACUACAUUUUAUCAAUUUUGCCAUAAGUAUGUUCUUCACAUUUUGAUAUCUCUAAAAUUGGAGAGCAUCUUGCAUAUACCAUUGGCCAUUUUUUUAUGCACCUGAUGUAUUGCAAAUCCGUAUGUCUUACCCUUGAUGUUUCCUUAGAGUAAAUGAGAUAUACAAUUGUACUUUGCUUGAUUGUCACCGACUCAACAUUAUCUGCAUCCCAUUCCAUAGUCGUCUCUAUAUUUGGGGGAAAAGCUUGGAAACUGCAUUUUCUAGAAUCUAUCAUGAGUAGAUUUCAUAUUAAAUUCUGCCAACGAAGGGUACUCUUUGAUACUUGGUAAAAAAGAGAAGUCAUUAUUCUUAUAUAAUGGCAGAUGGCAAACCUGAGGUUUUGUUUGAUAUUUUCAAAAGAAAUCCUUUUGUGAAUCACCUAAUUUUGUGCUAUAGGGAGCUGAAAUCAUUGAUGGUGGCAUCCUUAAGAUUCCUAUGUUUUUGAUUUUCUGAAAGCCAGCAAUGGCCUCCCUGAUAUCUCUUCCCCCAUCCCUCAGAAAGGUUGUGAAAGACUCCAGAUCCUCUGUACUAAAUCCUUUCCUAGAGUUAUUUCUGUUCUCUGGACCAAACUUUUAGUGAUACAGUUUUCUUCAAUCUUUUCUACAGUUUCCAAUGUGUUUCCCCCUCUUUAUUGGAAAAAAAAAACCUGAAAAAUUACCUUCCUUUUUGCUAACAUGAUUUGGGUGUUGCCUUAUCUAAGAAUAAGCUGGAAUAGGCAUUUGUGUGUAAACGCAGUGAUGGUCUGCUCAGCACAAUUGUAUAAGCAUGGAUGUAUAUAUAUACCUGAUCAACUGUUGAGCCCAGGCGAUCCCAACAUUUGAUUCACCCCAACUAGAUAAUUCACAGACAUGAAGGAAGAAACCUUUAGAUCAUUCCAGUCCCCAGAAAUUUAAGUCAUCUCCAGCAUUCUGUGCCAAGGCUCCUCACAUUACGGAGCAUAAGCAAACCAUCCAUCCAGUGCCCUAUCUAACUUCCUAACAAAAUGUGUGAGAAUUAUAAAAUGGUGUUGUUUUCCUCCACUAAAUUUUAGAAUAGUUUUUUCCAUGGUAAUGAGUACUUUCAACCUGAGGAUAGGAUUUGAGUGUUCCUGGGUCUUCUCAUCAAGUAUUAUUUUAAUAUUUCCCCUUUCCAUCAGGGUUAAUCUUCUUUCCACAACUAAUCUAUGAGCUCUUAAGGCCAUAUUUUAGAUUUAUACUAUAUUUCUUUUAAAACUGAACUCACUACUGAGCACUCAGUUGGAGCUUUCCAUAAUGUGCAUUGGCUAACUUGCAGGGUGAUGCCAGGGUUCUCCAUAGGAGCAAGCACUGACCACAGGCUCUGAGAGUUUCCAAAAUAAUUAUUUUUGUGAUAGAGUAUGUGGGAUGCCAAAUGCACAAAGGAGCCAGAAAGAACUUUUCUGAGCCAGUAUUGCAUGCUUUCACCAUAUUUUAUGAUGUAUAUGUGGUUUGCUGGGUUUGUAUUUCUCUUUUUACUUGGAACUAUUUGUCAUUUCAUUUGGUUACAAUAGUAAAUGAAAAAGAAAAUCUUGUCUCAAAGUUUGGCAUUACACAUUAGGUAACUUUGUAACUUUUGAAGUUAGGGUGAAGAUGAACUGGGUUCACAUACAACUGUUGUAUUAUUGGCAGGGCAUGAAUUUGUUUAGGUGGCUGGGAGAAUGGCCUUGUCUCCUCUGUUAUCCCUUAUGACCUCUCCCGAUCUCUAUGAGCUCUCUUGAUCCUAUGAGUCAACAUCACUGCAUGUCUCACAUGCACAGGAAUCCUUGUUAGAUGAAAUAAAUUAAUAAAUGCACAAUGGCUGUGAAAUUCAAAAUGGUAUGUAGAUAUUAAGUAUUAUUAUUAGAGUAAAUCUUCGUAAUUGUACCUAACUGCUGUCUCGUAAGACAUCUUAUUAAUUAAAUAAAUAAAAUACUGCUUUAAUGAAACCUUUGAGUCUAUAAUGGCAUAUUAAAGAAGAAGGAAUUAUUCAAAAAACAGUUUUAAAUUACAAUAAUACAAUAAUUUUCUGGCGAUCCUUCUUUCAUCUCACAUAUUUCUUAAUGGUGGGCACUGUUCUUAUGCCAGUGAAUGUUCAUGAGGUUCAGUUGUAUAGUGUGGGAAACAAAUGCUAGGCAUGUAAUAAUGAUUUUUUCACAAACAACAUCUGGCACUUUGCUGGGCUUCCAAGGCAGAUGCUAACAUAUGAAUGCCAAAUUUCUCAAGUGGUCAUCCUGAUGUACAACUGCUCUCUGGCCCAAAUGCCACCGCAUUCCCAAAUGUCACAUUGAUUCUCUUGCCACCUUCCUAUGAAUGAGAAUGAAAAAAAUUUCUGCAAAGAACAGUGUUUUAUGUCUUCAUUUUAUGGGAAAGGCUAACCAUCUCAAGUAUCUUACAGUUCAGACUUAGCACAGUGCCUGAAAUCUAAUUUCAUUCAUCUGCUUUCUUUUCAACUAGAUAUGUAAACAAUGACAGCCUCUCUGGCUACCAAUAUUGGGAUCGCAGUGGUUAUGUCUCUAGCUUUUGUGUAUCCUUCACAGUAAGAAACAAAUAUAUGCUUUUAAAUUAAUUUUUUAGCCCAAUUGCCAUUCAUUUCACUUUGAGGAAAUAAAAUAUAUGCUGAGAAAAAAAAAAAGAAAAAAACAAAAAAAUAAUUUGUUUUCUGAAUACUAAUAGAGUUUGUUGAGAAUUAGGUUUUGUAAAAUACUGGAAAUCAAAUUGAAUUCUAAAAACUAGGUGAUUUCUUCUAAUUACUAAGCCAUCUUGAUUAUGUUUGAAAAGAAUGGAUGGGAGGAUUCCAAGCAGGGAUAAGCUUUAUACCUUGGAGCCAAUGACAACACUAAACUAUUGGAUUAAUAAAGAGUAUAGCUACAUGACUCUCAACUUUAGUAAAAGGAAUGGGGUGACUUCAAAACAACAUUUAGCUCCUUUAAAUCUACUUCAUACUCUCCCCUUUCCAAUAACUCCCUUUAAGAAUUUGCAGAAUGAGCUCCUGAACUUGCCGUGAUAUUUGACACCAUAAAGAGAUCCUGCUUGGUGUAUCAUGGGAAGAUGAUGCACUUUAUUUAUUAAAAUAUAAUUCAUUUUCUACAGAGUAAAAGAGAAGCAUUUUAGAAUAAACUUUACAUUUUCUUCUAAAUUCUCAAACUGCAAAUUACCCUCUUAUUUUCUCUCUCUUUGCUCUCUGGCUCUUUUCUUGCUCACCAAGCAAGGUCUAACAUUAUUUUGGUGACUUUAAUGGCUACUUGAUUACACAUGUGUUUCUUGACCUUGUCUACAUCAAAGAGUUUGUCUUUGUCUCUAUUUAAACCACCAAAACCACAUUCUUUCAUGACCAUAUCCAGCAUAUUUUGUCUUUGAUAUGUUAGAUGCAAGUGCCCUACUCCCUGACUGGAUAACAUGUUCAAUUAUUUCUUAUUCAUUGGUGUUUUGAUAUUUGGGGAUCAUUGACCAGUUUACUCUUCCCAAUUGUCAGUAAAUUUCAGAAUUCACCUCUUUUCUUCUUAGUCUUAGAUUAUCUGCUCCAUCAAUUCAAUUCAAACUCUUAAAAAUAUCCCUAAUAUCUAUGAUCUUUCACUUUUAAAAAAGAGAUAGCUUUGGCAGCCUUCUCAAUUUUCACAUCCUGACCUGGAUCUAUAAAAAUUCAUGGUCUUUGCUCUAAAUUAUGAUCUCAGUGCUGCUGGACCACACUGCUAUAUACCCAUGUUUUACCACCUCCUAUUCUCCCCAGCGCUUAAGUCCUUGAUUCUUCUUGGAUUCUCUUCAUCACCCACAUUUUGAGUGUCUUAAAAAUAGAUGCCACUCUACUGGAACUCUCUUAAUUCUUUGCAUUUACACCUAAUCCUUUCCUGAGUUUGCACAUUUGCUUUUAAUUUGUCCCUGUAAGAGUGGUGGGGCAGGCAACAUCCUGUCUGGCAGCAACAGCAGCCCUAGAGCACAAACAUGUUGUAGCCCAUGCCUAGGAUGGUAACUAAACUGAUCAGAGAGUUAUGAGUGGUACUGGCCACAUAGAAGUAGUGCAGGGCACAGUACAUGUAGUAUCCAUUUUGCAACUGCAAAUUCGUAGCUUUCAGAAAUGUCCACACCAGGUAACCUGAAAAGCAAACAUGAAACUAUACUAAGAAAGUGAGCAGUGCAUUUGUUUUUCUAAGAUAAGUUUGUCUCUUUCUAAAGAAGCCCAGGCUAAAUUGAACACCAGAUUAGAAUAAGGAAAAGAAGAAUAUGAGGAAGAAGAGGAGGAGUCAGAGGAACCAGGAUAAUAACUAGAACUCUGAUCUCUGAAACUGAUUUUUUACCAAAUUCAGAGUAAAAUACAUCUUCUCAUAGCAUGGAUACCUCUCAUUCCCCCAGUUGCCAACAAAAUGGGUUGGUGAUUAAAACUUUUAUCAAAGUUCUCAACACUUAAAUUCUGAAUGGAGAAUUCUAGGAGUAUCAAGGUGAAAACACAAUGUUUGGGGAAAAAAACUAAAAUUAGUGGAACCCAAGUAAUAAAUACUGGGAAACAAAUGAGACAAAGUUAAUGGCAGAUAGCAUCUAGAAUAUGUCAAACUGGGAGGGCAGGCUUCUAUUUCUGCCAUGGGCAUUUGCCUACUGCUUGUUUAAUUUUUACAUCUGUAUGCUUCUUUUCAAGUCUCCCUGGCACUUCAGAGUAAGUUUUGUGAGAUGCUAGAAUCUGCCAACCAGGAAUGCAGUUGAUACUUGUCCUUGAAUAUCAUAAAAACAUGCUCAACUAUUCUUACUGGGGCAGUACUUCUGUAAACUGAUGAUGAACAAGGGGUCCACAGUGGUUUCUUUAAAAUAUAUAAUUGCUUGCCUGCAAGAGAUACUCACAUUCACAGGCCUGGUCUCAUACAAAGUCACCUACAAUGUGUGAUUAUCAGGUCUUGCGGAAUUCUUCUGGCCAGGUCUCCAGCAUGGCAUUUUUCAUUCCAUAAUCACUUUUCACAUUCUCUUUCCUCAGCAGGAUAAACAUUUAUCUUCCUUCUCUUGGCAAAGUACCUAUAUUUCCUUUAAGACCGACAAUCUGACAGUCUCCAACUUCUCUGGGGAGAGUUCAUGGUCCAUUCUGCCCAGAACACUGUCUUCUACCCGAGUAGCACGCCAAUGCAGAGAGAAUAAAUGAGAAAAAAAUCUGAGGAAAGGGAAGCAAAGCCUGCUCUGCUUCUGAAUUUUCAGUUUUUUUCACCAGCCUGAAUUGAAGUGUUGGCCAAGGCUGAUGUCUUAUUUGAAGGCUUCAAUGGAGAGGAUAGGUGGAAUCUUCUUCCAAGCUCAUUCAUGUGGCUGUUGGCAACAUUUAGUUCCUUGAAGACUACUGGACUGAGGGUCUCAGUUCUUUUUCUCACUGUUGGCCAGGGACUUCCUUUAGUCCUUUGACAUGUAAACAUUUUCAUGCCACAGUUCACAGCAUUAUGAUUGGCCUCUUCAGAGUGAGCAGUUGAGAAAGGAUAAAGGAAGCCAGAGUGUUGUUUUGUAACUUGAUUAUAGAAGUGAAAUAUCUUUAAUUUCACCAUAUUCUAUUUGCUAAAUACCAGUAGGUCCACUUCAUACUCAAUAUAAUGGAAUUAAAAGUGACUUGAAUACAGGGAGGUGGGAAAUCAUUGGGAGCCAUCUUAGAAGCUAUCAGGAAAGGCCUCUGCUUUAAGAAUAAAACAGUUUUGUCUAUCUGAUGAAUGGAAGAAGGGUGUUUAAAUAUGGCAUAUGUCAUCUGUAAAAUUGAACAGCAGAUAUUAAAUAUCUUUAGUCAAAUAAGUUAUAGGCUGUGUCUUCAAUUUGAAGUGCAAAUCUCAGAUCAGCCCAGACCAAUAUAUUCUCAAGAACUUCACUGAGGUUGUAGUAUUCUGUAUUUGUUGUGAAAUUUGUCUCAUGUACACCAUCAUCCACAUAUUUUUGCAAGUUUGUAGGGAACUUAUUACUUAUGCCUACCAGAUCCUGUCAGAAUUUUAUCAUUCAUGUAAUAAACCAGUCUGAUGACUUUUUAGGCUCCAAGAGAUCAAAGACUCUAAAGCAGGGGUGUCCAAUCUUUUGGCUUCCCUGGGCCACAAUGGAAGAAGAAGAAGAAUUGUCUUGGACCAUACAUAAAAUACAGUAACACUAAUGAUAGCUGAUAAGCUAAAAACAAUUGCAAAGUACCUCAUAAUGUUUUAAGAAACUUUGCAAAUUUGUGUUGGGUUGCAUUCAAAGCCAUCCUGGGCUACAUGCAGCCUGCAGGCUGUGGGUUGGACAAGCUUGUUUUAUAGUUUAGAUUGUGGCUCAAAGUAUCAGAGCCUUAUUGGUAUGGAGUUCUCAUACCAGAUCUGAGAGGUUGGCUUUGGGUGUCUUCCUGUUCAAUAGAAGGGAGAACAAUGUGUUUGCUAGGUCAAUUACUGUACAUCAAGUACCAAGGAGCCUACCUGGAACAAUAGUUAUAAUUAAGGCCACUCCCCAAUUAUAUUUAUGAUAAUAUGAAUUGUUCUCUUAGCUCAUUCAGUCUUCCUUUCAGGCUAAAUUAGAAAAUUCAAAUUUUGCUGAUGAAGAAAUAAAAAAAGUAAAGCAUUUUUGGAAGAUUCUAACAUAUUCCCUUGACAAGGGCAAAAAAAAAGUCUAGUGGAUUUUAACAGCAUACAAGAAUGAAGCAUGAAGCAGUAGAUAGUCAAAAUACAUGUAUAGCACAGAAUUCAUAAAAUUCAUGCCUCCUAGUGUUUCUAAACCCCUUCCUCUGCAUAAUGACAAGGGAUUUGUUAGACCUUUAAUUGUAAGCUAGCCUUGGCCACUACUGGAUCAGGUUUGUGUAGCCAAUUCAGCAUAGACUUGCAGCUGGUUGGUAAACUUUCAUACAAAUUACAAUAUUUCAUUGCAAUAAAUUCUGUCUGCUCCAAAUUUCUAAUUUACUAUUAUUGAUUAAACACUUUCAGAUUGUCUUGAGAGUUUUCACAACCUAUGAAAAAAUAUAUAGAUUUUCUUGUGGAUUGUUACUUAUGGCCAGAAUGUUCACUGUAAGAUUGCAAGAGGAUACCACAUAAAAAAUGUUUGUAGGUAUGUGCCAGUUAACAUACCACUAAAAGGUUUUAGCUCAUUAACAUACCACUCAAAACUUUUGUGACAUUAAAAAAACAAAAACAAAAACACUUGAUUAUACUCACAGAUGCUGUGGGUUAGAAAAUUGGAAAAGUCAUAGUGAGGACUCAUCAUCUCUGAUUUAUGGUCUCUGAGGUCUUAGCAGGGCAAAGUGAAGGCUGGCAAUGAUUCAACAUUUUGGAACUGGAAUCACAUGGAUUCAUCUUCACUUACUUGUCUGGUAGUUGAUAGCUUAGGGCCAAAACACCUACACAAGGCCAUUCUAUGUGAUAUCUUACUUGGGCUAGUUUGGGCUUCCUUGUGGUGUGGUAGUUGAGUUCCAGAAUCAGUCUCCCAAGGGGAGUAGGGGAGGGUGAAAACAGAAGCUACAAGUUUCUUGUGGCUGAAGCCUUGAAAUUUACACAGUGUAACUUCUGCCAUAUUCAAACUCCUGAUUGGUGGAAGGGAAUAGGUAACCUGUGUGUCUCAGUGGUAGAAAUAUCAGAAAAGCCCAGGUGCAAUGUCUCACACCUGUAAUCCCCAGCACUUUGGAAAGCCAAG